rfam:Geosporobacter ferrireducens strain IRF9, complete genome.
AGUACCUUUAAAUCAGUCCAGAGAGGCUGGCAAGGUGUACGGAUUAUAUGACUACAAUAGGAGCGCUAAUGAUAUCUAUGAUUGAAUACUCUAUUAUGUCAUAUAAAAAAGGCUUCUUGUCAGUUUAUUGACAAGAAGCCUUUUUU